rnacentral:lncRNA from 1 species
GGGUUUCCCACUUCAAAAAAUGAAGAUGGCAGUUUCAGCCAUAGAGGCGCCGUUCGAGUGGAGGAUCGAGCCAUGAGAGGCGGCUGUCGCUGUGGUCGCUCAGACGGCGGCAAGGUUCGGCGACGACGACUUCUAUCACAGUGAGUCGCGUGGAUUGGAGGUCUCAGGGAAAGUGGUAGUGGCUGGCGGCCGUGUACCGUGGUGUCGAUUCUCGCUGGUUUUAUUUGGAGGCGGCGGCGGCAAACUUUUGGAGCCGGCGGCGAAGCCCGAUGGGCGAGCUGGAGGCGACGGCGGGCCAUGGUGGAUUCGGGAGAAAGCUAUGGUGACUGGAGAAAUCGGCGGAGAGAAAGAUAACUGCGUCGUCGGUUUUAACGGGGCAACGACGGCGGAUCUGCCAGAGGCAGACGAGAGAGAUGGUUGCGCGAGCCUUGAGAGAAAAAGGAUGAACUGAGUUUUCCUUCUUUCCCCUCCCCCCUUUUUUUGUUGUUGUAGAUCUGAUGAAUUUGGCCGGAAAUAUGUGGGGCAGCCGGUCCUUUCCCGGCGAUUCUCGGGCAGUUUUUGCGCGGUCCGACGGGACGAGAGAGAAAGGUGGCGCUGGUGUGAGCAGCGGCGGCGUGGGCUCGCCGGAUUCUGGA